rnacentral:tRNA from 1 species
GAGGGUACAGCUUAGAGGCAGAGUAAGUGUUUAGCAUGCACGAGGUCCUGGGUUCAAUCCCCAGUACCUCCA